ensembl:lncRNA
GCACAAUAGGAGAAGAUAAGCAUAUAGAGUCUUCUAUAUACUGGUACCCAGGUGGUGGAAUGAAGACUGAGCGCUUGGAGCUGUGGAGAAAGUCCUACCACGAGAUCCAUCACAUCAGGUCAAAUUUCAUGAGGUCAGACUGAAAACAAAAAAGCCUGCUAAUCGAGAUCAUUGUUUGGCAGCAUAGUUGUGAAGAAUGAAGUCACACCAGUGGGGUGAGGUUGGAAAAACCAAAUGAAGAUUUGUCAUCAAAAUCCAUCCCUCUAUCUUCUAUAGCGCUUAUCCUUCCUUCAGGGUCACGGGGAACCUGGAGCCUGUCCCAGGGAGCAUCGGACACAAGGUGGGGUACACUCUGUACAGGGUGCCAAUCCAUCACAUCACAUUCACACACCCAUUCAUACACUACGGACACUUUGGACAUGCCAAUCAGCCUACCAUGCAUGUCUUUGGACUGGGGG